GGCCUCGUAGCUCAGGGGAUAGAGCGGCCGCCUCCUAAGCGGCAGGUCGAUGGUUCGAAUCCAUCCGGGGUCACCA
rnacentral:tRNA from 9 species